CCUACGAGUGGCAGCAGUGGGGAAUAUUGGACAAUGGGCGAAAGCCUGAUCCAGCCAUGCCGCGUGUGUGAAGAAGGCCUUCGGGUUGUAAAGCACUUUCAGUGGGGAAGAAAGCCUUGGGGCUAAUACCCUCGAGGAAGGACAUCACCCACAGAAGAAGCACCGGCUAACUCCGUGCCAGCAGCCGCGGUAAUACGGAGGGUGCGAGCGUUAAUCGGAAUUACUGGGCGUAAAGCGCGCGUAGGCGGUCUGAUAAGCCGGUUGUGAAAGCCCCGGGCUCAACCUGGGAACGGCAUCCGGAACUGUCAGGCUAGAGUGCAGGAGAGGAAGGUAGAAUUCCCGGUGUAGCGGUGAAAUGCGUAGAGAUCGGGAGGAAUACCAGUGGCGAAGGCGGCCUUCUGGACUGACACUGACGCUGAGGUGCGAAAGCGUGGGUAGCAAACAGGAUUAGAUACCCCAGUAGUC
rnacentral:rRNA from 1 species